rnacentral:lncRNA from 1 species
CUAGUAUUUGUCAGUAUGUUCUGUAUUUUAAUGAUGUACACACUUCCUAAAAUAUACCUUGAAAUAGGUUAAGGAACUUUGCAUAGAUAAAUAGUAGAAAUUUCAGUGUUAGAGUUAAGCUCCCUAUGGUAUUUUAAGGCUUGUAGAAAUACCCAUGUGUUAAGUUGUCACAUUUUCAAAUUACAAACUUGUAACUGUCACUCUCUAACAGUGCGUGCAUAACUAUAUCCACAGCUUUGUGGGAAGAGAUGUUAUUCAAAGUAAUACAUUUUAGGCAUUUUCUUAUCAUUAGAAGAGGCAUUCUUUAUUCACAAAUAUUUAAAUUUUGCAGUGUGAUGAAGUUGAGAGGGUGGCUAGAUGUGAAUAACAGCUGGGUUAGAACAAGUACCUCAGGAAUUUUGUCCAAGAUUAUUCCCAACAACUGCCCCUCUCUGAUCUCCAGCCAUGAAGAUCCAAUCUGGAUAAAUUCUCUAUCUGUCACCCUUUCUAAGACCAAGUAUCAGUGCAGUAGAAGGCAGAGAACUGGAAAAAGAGUAUUGCAUUCUGAUACAAAGUUUUAAUCAUUCCAACACUUUUUCAAAUUUAAUGAUUAUAUAAUGAUACCUCGCAACUUCUCCAUCUACAUAUCCAUGGUAUGUGCAGUUACACUCUACAACGUUUUAUGUUAUUGCUACUGGGGUAAAGAAAUGUCAGUGAAAAAUAACCUUAGCAUAUAGACCUCACUUGUGGAAAGAAUGUGAUUUUUAUGAGCCAUCGUUAUAUCCUGUUUGUUUCCUUCUCAACUUUUAGUGAGUCUUUGCUACCACUGCUUGCUUUUCAUCUUCUUGGUGCAAUUUGUAACUACACUGAGUUAUGAUAGCAGUAAUCUAAAUAAGAUGUUAUCUAGCAGUGUUAGGCCCUGAACCCUUUCUCUCUUUGGAAUUUUUGGUAAUGUGAAUGGAGUUGGAUCCUGAUUAUCUUUGUUUUGGACAACCAUCCAAUUAAAAACAGCCUCCCAUUAUAAGAUCAAACACUAAAAAGCAACUAGAAUUUUUAUUAAUAUAUUUGCUUUGGAUCUUCCUCUAGAUUUUUCUAAUAGACCUUCUGAGAAUAUUCUGAAGAAUUUACUAGAAACUGGUAAAUUUAGUACACUUUUUAAUGUAUUUCCUGAAUACUUGCAUAUUGCAUUCUGUAUUUAUGUAAAAUGAUCAUUUUUAGGAGUUGAUAUUCAGAAUAUCUCAGUCAGUGCUUACUUCUCCUGUUUUGUCUCCUUCCUCUCUCUGUUUUUCCUUCCACUUCCAGUACCUCAUUUUUAUCACUUCAUUAGUGACAGGUUCU